AUUUUGCCACUAUUCUGCUUCAACUACCCUUAUGCUAACUAGUACUGUAGUCUUCUUUAAUUGUCAGACUCCUGGCUGUCUAGGCUCUUUUGUUGUGAUGCACAUAUAAUCAUCUGUAAUUGCUUCAACAUUUAUCUAUGCUUAUCCCUCAGAUACAUAUUUACUGAAUUUAUCAUUAGGGGGGCUUGGAAUGUGGACUGACCCAGAAGAGCAUAUCCCUGCAACAAUCCAACAAUAGCGAUACAAUUUUGCUCAUAGAAUUGGCUCAUUAGUUUCUGCAAGUCUUUGGUACACCUUGUGAUUUUUCUAUCUAUAUUACAUAUCUGACUGCUUUUUACUCUUUAGUGAUUUCAAUAAACUAGUGAAUGUUGAAUAUAGCAAUGCAGCUGCAUUAGAUCAAAAUUUCAGGUAGAAACCACCUGCUCCAGCUGACCAGGUUUGUUCUUUGGGCACCCAUUUUCCUCGACUGUUUAUAAUGAAAAUUCUCUAUGACAUGUAAGGGAAAAUGAAAUUUAAAAAAAAAAAAUGCCUGGUAGUGUUAGCGAGUGGAGAAGAAUUUUUUUUCGAUUAGGAACAAGAAAAGAAGACAAUAAAGCAAACCCGCUAGGGCAGCCUGCACCUAGCUGAUAUAACAACAGAACAUUAGAAGCAGAAGGGGAAACUUGCAAAAAUAGAAGUUCUUGUGGGCCGUGUGUCAUUGGAAAUUCCUUACUAAUCUUUAAGUAUGCAGAUGACAAUAGUGAUCCUAUUAGUGCUGGAUGGAAGUUGCACACUGAACCUUCAGACCAUUUAUUACACUGAUGUGAUUCUUCAAAGUUGGAGCAGGCUUACUUGUAAUUUUUAUUAUAGCUGCUAAUCUGAAAGCUGAAGUUCACAUUUCUACAUCUACUCAUUGGUUUUUCACUUUUUGUGGUCUAUUUGGCAGUGGCAAUGUGAAGUUGUGUUUUAUGUUGCUUCUGUAGUUCUAUCCUCCUAAAUAGGCUGCAGUGCAGUAUUAUUGAGUAUGCAAAAUAAUUGGUCCAAGGAAAACUGUCUGUUGGUUUAAAAUGGUGCCCUCCUCCUAUUCAUACUUUUGAAGCUCAACACCAAUGGAAGUAAGAAUUCAGGGAAUGAUUUUUCUACUAAUGUCGGGAUUCCUUCUGUGCUUUAACGAGUUUAUCCCAACGAAAAUAGCGAGCGAAAGGAGGUGGCUGAAUGCUGAUUGCUUUCCCUGGUUAGGACUUAGGCAUGAUGCUAAACUGGGUGUUCAUGUUUGGGAAUGAUGCUCUUGGGUUUAUGUACUCUGGCAAUUUUGUAGAUGAGUUGUAGUUUGUAGGCUUUGGCCAUCUACCGUACCAAGAUUCGAAAAGAAAGUCCUCUGUAUGAACUUUUUUCUUU